UACGUAGGCAGCAAGCGUUGUCCGGAAUCAUUGGGCGUAAAGAGCGUGUAGGCGGCUCGGUAAGUCCGCUGUGAAAGUCCAGGGCUCAACCCUGGAAUGCCGGUGGAAACUGUCGAGCUAGAGUCCGGAAGAGGCGAGUGGAAUUCCUGGUGUAGCGGUGAAAUGCGCAGAUAUCAGGAGGAACACCAAUGGCGAAGGCAGCUCGCUGGGACGGUACUGACGCUGAGACGCGAAAGCGUGGGGAGCAAACAGG
rnacentral:rRNA from 1 species